UCAUAUGCUUGUCUCAAAGAUUAAGCCAUGCAUGUCUAAGUACAAGCCUCACUAAGGUGAAACCGCGAAUGGCUCAUUAAAUCACACCUAAUCUACUGGAUAGUUAACAGUUACUUGGAUAACUGCGGUAAUUCUGGAGCUAAUACAUGCACAAAGCCCCGAACUUACGUGAGGGGCGCUUUUAUUAGAUCAAAACCAAACGGCUUCGGCUGUUCUCUUGGUGACUCUGAAUAACUUUGGGCUGAUCGCAUAGCCUAGCGCUGGCGACAUAUCCUUCGAAGGUGUGCCCUAUCAACUGUCGACUGUGGCAUAGACGCCCACAGUGGUUUUGACGGGUAACGGGGAAUCAGGGUUCGAUUCCGGAGAGGGAGCCUUAGAAACGGCUACCACAUCUAAGGAAGGCAGCAGGCACGCAAAUUACCCAAUGACCGAAGGUCGAGGUAGUGACGAAAAAUAACGAUACGGGACUCAUCUGAGGCCCCGUAAUCGGAAUGAGUACACUUUAAAACCGUCCCCGAGGAUCUAUUGGAGGGCAAGUCUGGUGCCAGCAGCCGCGGUAAUUCCAGCUCCAAUAGCGUAUAUUAAAGUUGUUGUGGUUAAAAAGCUCGUAGUUGGAUCUCGGCGGUCUGAGGGCGGUUCACUUGCUAGUGCUACUGCCCUAUAGACC
rnacentral:rRNA from 7 species